rnacentral:rRNA from 1 species
ACUCCUACGGGAGGCAGCAGUGGGAAUAUUGCACAAUGGGGGAAACCCUGAUGCAGCCAUGCCGCGUGUGUGAAGAAGGCCUUGGUUGUAAAGCACUUUCAGUAGGGAGGAAGGUAGUGUAGUUAACACCUGCAUUAUUUGACGUUACCUACAGAAGAAGCACCGGCUAACUCCGUGCCAGCAGCCGCGGUAAUACGGAGGGUGCGAGCGUUAAUCGGAAUUACUGGGCGUAAAGCGCAUGCAGGCGGCCUGUUAAGUCAGAUGUGAAAGCCCGGGGCUUAACCUCGGAAUUGCAUUUGAAACUGGCAGGCUAGAGUCUUGUAGAGGGGUUAGAAUUUCAGGUGUAGCGGUGAAAUGCGUAGAGAUCUGAAGGAUACCAGUGGCGAAGGCGGCCCCUGGACAAAGACUGACGCUCAGAUGCGAAAGCGUGGGAGCAAACAGGAUUAGAUACCCCUGGUAGACUGUCA